rnacentral:pre_miRNA from 8 species
AUUCAUUCAUGGGUGGGGAUUUGUUGCACUGCUUGUGUUAUAUAUAAAGUAUUGCACUUGUCCCGGCCUGUGGAAGAAAU